rnacentral:rRNA from 1 species
GACGUAGGGCGCGAGCGUUGUCCGGAUUUAUUGGGCGUAAAGAGCUCGUAGGCGGCUUGUCGCGUCGACUGUGAAAACCCGCGGCUCAACUGCGGGCCUGCAGCCGAUACGGGCAGGCUAGAGUUCGGUAGGGGAGACUGGAAUUCCUGGUGUAGCGGUGAAAUGCGCAGAUAUCAGGAGGAACACCGGUGGCGAAGGCGGAUCUCUGGGCCUUGCCUGACGCUGAGGCGCGAAAGCUAGGGUAGCGAACGGG